CACCCCCUACGGGAGGCAGCAGUAGGGAAUCUUCCACAAUGGGCGCAAGCCUGACCCAGCAACGCCGCGUGAAGGAAGAAGGCUUUCGGGUUGUAAACUUCUUUUAAGGGGGACGAACAAAUGACGGUACCCCUUGAAUAAGCCACGGCUAACUACGUGCCAGCAGCCGCGGUAAUACGUAGGUGGCAAGCGUUAUCCGGAUUUAUUGGGUGUAAAGGGCGUGUAGGCGGGAGCGCAAGUCAGAUGUGAAAACUCAGGGCUCAACCCUGAGCCUGCAUUUGAAACUGUGGUUCUUGAGUGCUGGG
rnacentral:rRNA from 1 species